UCAAGUAUGCCUUUGUAAAAUCGAAAAAAGAGUUUAGGAGAAGAAAAGUAUAACCAAUCGAUAAUGGAUGUCCCGGGCAGAUAUGGGAAAGCAGCACAAAGAAAACGAUUUAAGCCAUAGCCAGGUGGGGGCUAUGACCAACAGAGUAGGGGCUUCAAAGCAAAAAGAAAUAGGUAUUAACCCAGAGAAAGAGAAGAAGGUGAAAUAGAGCUAGGAGCUAUGGAAUGUUCAACUUCAGCUCUGGUCCAUGGCCCACUGGUUGGGAGUGGUAUUGACAAAAGUCUUUGGUAGCUGUCAAGGACGCCAUCGAGUUGCAUUGAGAAUGGGUUAAGCCAAGGGUUAAGGUGAGGAGAAUAUAAAUCUGGAUUCUGUUAUAUUUAACGAAAUUAAAAUUCAAUGAAAGUAAAGUAAAGCAUACCAAAAAUGUAUUAAAUUUUACUAAAAGCAA